rnacentral:rRNA from 1 species
UACGUAGGGGGCUAGCGUUGUCCGGAAUCAUUGGGCGUAAAGAGCGUGUAGGCGGCCCGGUAAGUCCGCUGUGAAAGUCGGGGGCUCAACCCUCGGAUGCCGGUGGAUACUGUCGGGCUCGAGUACGGAAGAGGCGAGUGGAAUUCCUGGUGUAGCGGUGAAAUGCGCAGAUAUCAGGAGGAACACCUAUUGCGAAGGCAGCUCGCUGGGACGUUACUGACACUGAGACGCGAAAGCGUGGGGAGCAAACAGG